rnacentral:rRNA from 1 species
CCUAGGGGGGCAGCAGUGGGGAAUAUUGGACAAUGGGCGAAAGCCUGAUCCAGCCAUGCCGCGUGUGUGAAGAAGGCCUUCGGGUUGUAAAGCACUUUCAGUGGGGAAGAAAGCCUUGGGGCUAAUACCCUCGAGGAAGGACAUCACCCACAGAAGAAGCACCGGCUAACUCCGUGCCAGCAGCCGCGGUAAUACGGAGGGUGCGAGCGUUAAUCGGAAUUACUGGGCGUAAAGCGCGCGUAGGCGGUCUGAUAAGCCGGUUGUGAAAGCCCCGGGCUCAACCUGGGAACGGCAUCCGGAACUGUCAGGCUAGAGUGCAGGAGAGGAAGGUAGAAUUCCCGGUGUAGCGGUGAAAUGCGUAGAGAUCGGGAGGAAUACCAGUGGCGAAGGCGGCCUUCUGGACUGACACUGACGCUGAGGUGCGAAAGCGUGGGUAGCAAACAGGAUUAGAUACCCUGGUAGUC